rnacentral:rRNA from 2 species
UGAUCCAGACUUUGAUCAUGGCUCAGGACGAACGCUGGCGGCGUGCCUAACACAUGCAAGUCGAGCGAGGAAUAUUGAGUAGCUUGCUACUUGGUAUUUCUAGCGGCGGACGGGUGAGUAACGCGUGAGCAACCUGCCUUUAUCAGGGGGAUAACGCAUCGAAAGAUGUGCUAAUACCGCGUAAGACCACAGCUUCACAUGGAGCGGGGGUCAAAGGAGCAAUCCGGAUAAAGAUGGGCUCGCGUCCGAUUAGCUAGUUGGUGAGAUAACAGCCCACCAAGGCGACGAUCGGUAGCCGACCUGAGAGGGUGAUCGGCCACAUUGGAACUGAGAAACGGUCCAGACUCCUACGGGAGGCAGCAGUGGGGAAUAUUGGGCAAUGGGCGAAAGCCUGACCCAGCAACGCCGCGUGAGGGAAGAAGGGUUUCGGCUCGCAAACCUCUGUCCUAUGGGACGAAGGAAGUGACGGUACCAUAGGAGGAAGCCCCGGCUAACUACGUGCCAGCAGCCGCGGUAAUACGUAGGGGGCGAGCGUUGUCCGGAAUGAUUGGGCGUAAAGGGCGCGUAGGCGGCCUGCUAAGUCUGGAGUGAAAGUCCUGCUUUCAAGGUGGGAAUUGCUUUGGAUACUGGUGGGCUGGAGUGCAGGAGAGGAAAGCGGAAUUACCGGUGUAGCGGUGAAAUGCGUAGAGAUCGGUAGGAACACCAGUGGCGAAGGCGGCUUUCUGGACUGAAACUGACGCUGAGGCGCGAAAGCGUGGGGAGCAAACAGGAUUAGAUACCCUGGUAGUCCACGCGGUAAACGAUGAAUGCUAGGUGUAGGAGGUAUCGACCCCUUCUGUGCCGCAGUAAACACAAUAAGCAUUCCGCCUGGGGAGUACGGCCGCAAGGUUGCAACUCAAAUGAAUUGACGGA